rnacentral:lncRNA from 1 species
UAUAGGAUUCUUGUCACAAGACCCAAUCCUCAUGCAACCUAAGAUCAAGUGUCAAGCCCACAAUGCUACACAACCUAGGUAACAUGCAAGGAAUGGAAAUGUAAUCAUCUACUAAUCCUAUAAUGCACAAUAUAUCAACAUAUAGGAAUAUGAUCAAAAUAUAGAACUUAGAUAUAAAAGGAAGCUCAGUUGCUUCGGGAUGGACACCCCCCACC